UACGUAGGGUGCGAGCGUUGUCCGGAAUUAUUGGGCGUAAAGAGCUUGUAGGUGGCUCGUCGCGUCGGGAGUGAAAACCCGCGGCUUAACCGCGGGCCUGCUUUCGAUACGGGCGGGCUAGAGUUCGGCAGGGGAGACUGGAAUUCCUGGUGUAGCGGUGGAAUGCGCAGAUAUCAGGAGGAACACCGGUGGCGAAGGCGGGUCUCUGGGCAGUAACUGACGCUGAGGAGCGAAAGCUAGGGGAGCAAACGGG
rnacentral:rRNA from 1 species